AGCAGCCGCGGUAAUUCCAGCUCCAAUAGCGUAUAUUAAAGUUGUUGCAGUUAAAAAGCUCGUAGUUGAACUUCGGGAUUCACCCAUUGGUCAGGCUUAAUUGUCUGUACUGGUGAGAUGAGUCUCUACCUUCUGAGGAACUUUCAUGCCAUUUGUUUGGUGUGAUUGGAAAUCAGGACUGUUACUUUGAAAAAAUUAGAGUGUUUAAAGCAGGCUAACGUCUGAAUACAUUAGCAUGGAAUAAUGAAAUAGGACGGAUUGAUUCUAUUUCGUUGGUUUCUAGGGUCACCGUAAUGAUUAAUAGGGAUAGUUGGGGGCAUUAGUAUUCAAUUGUCAGAGGUGAAAUUCUUGGAUUUAUUGAAGACUAACUACUGCGAAAGCAUUUGCCAAGGAUGUUUUCAUUAAUCAAGAACGAAAGUUAGGGGAUCGAAGACGAUCAGAUACCGUCGUAGUCUUAACCAUAAACUAUGCCGACUAGGGAUCGGACGCAGUUAAUUUUAUAAUGACGUGUUCGGCACCUUACG
rnacentral:rRNA from 1 species